CCGCUGAUCAUAAAAUCAAGACAGGCACCAUAGAAACCUAACCAUUUUUUGUUUGACCUUGCUCAUUUUUUAGUUCUCAAAUUACUGCUACAUUGUCAAUAGAUUUUUUUUGUCAAAAAUAGCUUUUUGCAGGGGUCUUCGUCACAUAGAUGGACAGGACGCGUGUAGACCAUCAUUGUACAUUUUUUGCCCAUGUAUAGUCGUUAAUCAAUACAAAAUAUAAUUACCCUGGAUUUGAGAUGUUAUCCUAUAUAACAACCAACCCCACUAAUCUAUUUAUCUUGACAUGCAGCAUAUCGGCCUCAACAUGUAUGCCCCACAUGUGCCACCUUCUGCCACGUCAGCGACUCUUUACAUGCAGCAUUCAGUUACCAAUGUGCAGAACAGACUGUCCACCUGCCUUCUCUCUGUUUCCACUUUCCAGCCAUAAAUCGUGGAUGCCUCUCUCCCUCCCUCAGAAAUAAACACAAACCGAUCGGCCUCUCUCCCCCAGAAAAAUUGACGCUAGUUUUCUCCUUGGCUACAGGUGUAGCAGGUCUGCAGGUGGGAGCCGAUCUGUGCAUCAAGGGUCCUCCCAUGGCAUGUCCGUUGGUGCUGCUCGCCUCCGCGGUUCUCUAAAAUUCUCUAUGGUAUGAUCCCCCUUGGCCCUUGCAGGUUUGGUGCCAUAUGUGCCCUAGUCCUCCCCUCCCGUGUGUGUCUCUAUUCAGGCUAAGACAGCUUCGGCGUCGUUGGGAAGGUCAGUACCGGCCGGUUCCAAUAGAAUCGGACCAGCUAUAGGAACGCCCAGUGUAGCCGAGUCCAAUCAGGUCACCACGCCAUCAAAUUUUCAAUAUUUUUCCUUCUCAUGCUAGAGGGAACGCAUUGGUGUGACGAGGCAGGGCCUCAGCCAUGGCGUUGAGGUUUUUCUUUUGGCUUGGAAGGAACGCCCAGUGUGCAGGAGUCCUUUCCUCUGAAUUUAGAACUCUGAUGUUUCUAACAGUAUGCAAGUUUGUAAAUUGCUCCAUUGAACAGAUUAGUAUACAAAGUGCUCUUUCCCAUCAGGUUAUUUUCAGCCAUGUUGUGGAUAUUUUUAUUUUGGCCUAGAAGGAACGCCCAGUGUACAUGUGUCCUUUCCUGUGAAUUUAAAACUAUGAUAUUUCUAUUAGUAUACAAGUUUGUACAUUGAUCCA